GAUAUUUAUAAAAGUCAGCGAGGAUUAUUGACCUGUCUCACCAAAACAGUCAUUUCUGUUAUUAUGACAUCAGAAUACUACCCCACGUCAGAUAACAGAGCAAAGGGCCUGAAGAAUGAGGGAGGUAGGCAGGCUGGACAGGAGGCAGACAAGGGAAUGUAGACUAAGCAACUUCCAGACCACUCACUGGGGAUGCCAGCCACCGUAUCAUGAGGUCAAGCAGCAUGAAGGGGUCUAUACGGUGAGGGAGCGCCAGCUGUGUAAGUCACCCUAGAAGUGUGUCCUCCAGGCCCAAGUGUGCCCUUCAGGUGACUACAGCUGUGACACCGUGACUACCACCUCUGAGCCACUGUGGCCAGAACGACCUAGAAAUGCCACUCCUGAAUUCUGGACCCACAGAAAUCACGUGAGAUGUUUAUUGUUGUUUUCAGCCACUGAAUUUAAGAGUACUUCAAUUUAUAGCAACAGUUCAUACUGUCUUAAAGGGCAGAAGUUGCCUGCUGGCAUGGCCUUCUUGUGGAGCCUUCCACAGUCCAGGCUCCCCACUAGUGAGAUGCUGCAGUAGCCCCAAGCUGUCUGCUGGGGCACUGCUGGGCAUUAGAACACACUGCUUUCCCUCCAGGCUUGAGUACCUGAGUAUUACAGGCUGACUUGUUAUUUUUCAACGUAGGAGAUACGCCCAAUAUUAUGCAAAGAAACUUGUGCUCAUGUUACUGAAAUAAGCAAGCUCAAGGGUGAAUGCAAAAAUUCUCUACAUCACCGUGCCCUGGUGGCAUAUUUUUCCAUUUUUAGCUCUUUUCAUUCAGAAAAGCCAGCAAGAACUCUUUUUCAAUCACAUCUUCUUUCGGGACUUCUUGAUGAUAUACCAGAGAACUUUAUUUUUUAAAAAUAAAGAU